GGGCGAAUGGUCUAGGGGUAUGAUAUUCGCUUUGCAUAUUCUCUAGUAAUCAGAGUAAUCGGCUUGCGAAGGGUCCGGGGUUCAAAUCCCCGUUCGUCCA